CCCUUAGAUGUUCUGGGCCGCACGCGCGCUACACUGACGAAGUCAGCGAGCAUGUCCUACGCCGACAGGUGCGGGGAAUCUUGUCAAACUUCGUCGUGAUGGGGAUUGAUUUUUGAAAUUCUUGAUCAUAAACGAGGAAUUCCUAGUAAGCGCAAGUCAGCAGCUUGCGUUGAUUACGUCCCUGCCCUUUGUACACACCGCCCGUCGCUACUACCGAUUGAAUGGUUUAGUGAGAUCUUCGGAUUGGCGCCACUGCAGCUCAGCAAUGGGCUUGGUGGAUGCCGAAAAGUUGAUCAAACUUGAUCAUUUAGAGGAAGUAAAAGUCGUAACAA
rnacentral:rRNA from 1 species